AAUAGAAGGGUUAUAGGAUGUGGGAGCAGAGGCUGAAGAAGAGUUGGAGGCUGAUUCAGCCUGGUGGGGAGCGAGCUGAGGAGGAGCAGUCUGGGAAGAAGAACUCUUGAUGGCCUGCUUCCCAUCCUCCAUCCUGGAAGACUGAUCUGAAACCCCAGGAGGAGGUCCUCUGAGCCCUGAGGCAGAGAUCUCUCACCUGGAAGAUGGGUCUAAUGACUGCGCCCCACACACACCAGAGAGGACUGCAGAUAGUGCGGGAUGAGAGGAAGAUCUCUGGCCCUGGAGACAGCAUCAUCAAGCGAAAACGUAUGAGGAAGAAAAUAGCAGAUGAGAAGAAUCAACCAAAUUCCGGAAGCUGGAAGGCAGAUGCAAGAAGGCCCUUGAAUGAUGCCAGCACCUUGAUAUUGGACUUUCCAGCCUCCAGAACCAUGAGCCAAUACAUUUCUGUUCCAUAAAAAUUACCCAGUUCCAGGUAUUCUGCUAUAGCAGCACAAAAUGGACUAAAACAAUGUUGGCACAAGACUCAGUGCUGGGCCUGGCAUGCAACAGGUCCUUGGAGUGGCGUGCUGUGUGGAUAAUGAAUAUUGGGGAAGGCAUCUCUCUCCAGCCCCUCUCAAGCUUUCUGUAGUCACUGGUCCACUCUGUAUUGCUAUGAAGAAGCUCAAGACCAGCCUGUAUCACUCGGGGUCCUGGCAGGAACCAGGUGCCACACUCAAACUGAGUAAUUGAAGAGGGUUUAAUAUGGGAGUUAUUUACAUAGGUGUGGGCUGGUGUAGCUGCCCAUAUGCCCUCAAAAUCACCUCUACAUGGCAAUAGCUACUUACUGCUAACAGAGUCUCUCUCUCAUUGCUGCAAAUAUUUUCUAGCCAUGCAAGAAACUCAGCCGGUCAUGUUGAACAAACUAAGAGUGCCAGGAAGUUAAUGUCCUGGAAGCAUUGCCAGAGGGGAGGGGGCAGUUAGAUUCCCCAGCUUCCUCGCUCCUCUGCUGGGUUAAGCCUGCAACAUAUUCAUCAUCUCCCAGAGUGCUGCCCAGGGAUAGAGCUCCAGGUGCUCAGUGUGGUGACCUGCUCAUGUCAGCUUCUUCCCCUUUCCUGUCUUGUUUCGCACCCACAUCCUUCCCAUGUUUCCUCUUCCCAAAUAAACUACUUGCAUUGAAA
rnacentral:lncRNA from 10 species